rnacentral:rRNA from 1 species
UGGGUGAUAAGAUUCAUAGUCGAAAGGGCAACAGCCCAGAUCGUCAGCUAAGGUCCCUAAAUGUAAGUUAAGUGGUAAAGGAUGUGGGAUUGCACAGACAACCAGGAUGUUGGCUUAGAAGCAGCCACUCAUUCAAAGAGUGCGUAAUAGCUCACUGGUCGAGUGAUCCUGCGCCGAAGAUUUCCGGGGCUAAAACUUACUACCGAAGCUACGGCAUCAGUAAUGAUGGGUAGGGGAGCUUCCCAUACGGGUUGAAGCAUGACCGUAAGGACAUGUGGACAGUAUGGGAGUGAGAAUGUUGGCAUGAGUAGCGAGAUGUGGGUGAGAAUCCCACAGGCCGUAAACCCAAGGUUUCCAGGGGAAGGUUCGUCCGCCCUGGGUUAGUCGGGACCUAAGCUGAGGCCGAAAGGCGUAGGUGAUGGACAACAGGUUGAUAUUCCUGUACUACCGAUAACCGUUUGAGAGAAGGGAUGACACAGUAGGAUAAGCUAAGCACACUGUUGGUUAUGUGUGCCCAAGCAUUGAGGCAGUCAAAGUAGGCAAAUCCGCUUUGAUAAUGCUGGGAUGUGAUGGGGAGCGAAAUUUAGUAGCGAAGUAGCUGAUUUCACACUGUCAAGAAAAGUCUCUAUCGAGGUUAAAGGUACCCGUACCGCAAACCGACACAGGUGGGUGAGGAGAGUAUCCUAAGGCCAGCGAGAGAACUGUUGUUAAGGAACUCGGCAAAAUGACCCCGUAACUUAGGGAUAAGGGGUGCCACCAUCAGGUGGCCGCAGAGAAUAGGCCCAAGCGACUGUUUACCAAAAACAUAGGUUUCUGCUAAGUCGCAAGACGAUGUAUAGGAGCUGACGCCUGCCCGGUGCUGGAA